rnacentral:rRNA from 1 species
GACGAACGCUGGCGGCGUGCCUAAUACAUGCAAGUAGAACGCUGAAGCUUGGUGCUUGCACCGAGCGGAUGAGUUGCGAACGGGUGAGUAACGCGUAGGUAACCUGCCUGGUAGCGGGGGAUAACUAUUGGAAACGAUAGCUAAUACCGCAUAAAAUGGAUUAUCGCAUGAUAAUCCAUUGAAAGGUGCAAAUGCAUCACUACCAGAUGGACCUGCGUUGUAUUAGCUAGUUGGUGGGGUAACGGCUCACCAAGGCAACGAUACAUAGCCGACCUGAGAGGGUGAUCGGCCACACUGGGACUGAGACACGGCCCAGACUCCUACGGAGGCAGCAGUAGGGAAUCUUCGGCAAUGGACGGAAGUCUGACCGAGCAACGCCGCGUGAGUGAAGAAGGUUUUCGGAUCGUAAAGCUCUGUUGUAAGAGAAGAACGAGUGUGAGAGUGGAAAGUUCACACUGUGACGGUAUCUUACCAGAAAGGGACGGCUAACUACGUGCCAGCCGCCGCCGUAACAC